UACGUAGGGGGCUAGCGUUGUCCGGAAUCAUUGGGCGUAAAGAGCGUGUAGGCGGCCAGAAAAGUCCGCUGUGAAAACUCGAGGCUCAACUUCGAGCUGUCGGUGGAAACUUUCUGGCUAGAGUCCGGAAGAGGAGAAUGGAAUUCCUGGUGUAGCGGUGAAAUGCGCAGAUAUCAGGAAGAACACCCGCUGGCGAAGGCGGUUCUCUGGGACGGUACUGACGCUGAGACGCGAAAGCGUGGGGAGCGAACAGG
rnacentral:rRNA from 1 species